rnacentral:rRNA from 1 species
CCUGGUAGUCCACGCCGUAAACGAUGUCGACUUGGAGGCUGUUUCCUUGAGAAGUGGCUUCCGGAGCUAACGCGUUAAGUCGACCGCCUGGGGAGUACGGCCGCAAGGUUAAAACUCAAAUGAAUUGACGGGGGCCCGCACAAGCGGUGGAGCAUGUGGUUUAAUUCGAUGCAACGCGAAGAACCUUACCUACUCUUGACAUCCACGGAAUUUGGCAGAGAUGCCUUAGUGCCUUCGGGAACCGUGAGACAGGUGCUGCAUGGCUGUCGUCAGCUCGUGUUGUGAAAUGUUGGGUUAAGUCCCGCAACGAGCGCAACCCUUAUCCUUUGUUGCCAGCGAUUCGGUCGGGAACUCAAAGGAGACUGCCGGUGAUAAACCGGAGGAAGGUGGGGAUGACGUCAAGUCAUCAUGGCCCUUACGAGUAGGGCUACACACGUGCUACAAUGGCGCAUACAAAGAGAAGCGACCUCGCGAGAGCAAGCGGACCUCAUAAAGUGCGUCGUAGUCCGGAUCGGAGUCUGCAACUCGACUCCGUGAAGUCGGAAUCGCUAGUAAUCGUGGAUCAGAAUGCCACGGUGAAUACGUUCCCGGGCCUUGUACACACCGCCCGUCACACCAUGGGAGUGGGUUGCAAAAGAAGUAGGUAGCUUAACCUUCGGGAGGGCGCUUACCACUUUGUGAUUCAUGACUGGGGUGAAGUCGUAACAAGGU